rnacentral:rRNA from 1 species
GGCCGUAACUAUAACGGUCCUAAGGUAGCGAAAUUCCUUGUCGGGUAAGUUCCGACCUGCACGAAUGGCGUAACGACUUCCCCGCUGUCUCCAACAUAGACUCAGCGAAAUUGAAUUACCGGUCAAGAUGCCGGUUACCCGCGGUUAGACGGAAAGACCCCGUGCACCUUUACUACAGCUUCACACUGGCAUUAGGCCGAACAUGUGCAGGAUAGGUGGUGGGCUUUGAAACCGAGACGCCAGUCUCGGUGGAGCCUCCCUUGAGAUACCACCCUUGUUCUGCUUGAUGUCUAACCGCGGACCGUUAUCCGGUUCCGGGACCCUGUGUGGCGGGUAGUUUGACUGGGGCGGUCGCCUCCUAAAUCGUAACGGAGGCGCGCGAAGGUUGGCUCAGAGCGGUCGGAAAUCGCUCGUUGAGUGCAAUGGCAGAAGCCAGCCUGACUGCGAGACUGACAAGUCGAGCAGAGUCGAAAGACGGCCAUAGUGAUCCGGUGGUCCCAAGUGGGAGGGCCAUCGCUCAACGGAUAAAAGGUACGCCGGGGAUAACAGGCUGAUACUGCCCAAGAGUCCAUAUCGACGGCAGUGUUUGGCACCUCGAUGUCGGCUCAUCUCAUCCUGGGGCUGGAGCAGGUCCCAAGGGUACGGCUGUUCGCCGUUUAAAGAGGUACGUGAGCUGGGUUUAGAACGUCGUGAGACAGUUCGGUCCCUAUCUUCCGUGGGUGUAGGAUACUUGAGAGGAGUUGCCCCUAGUACGAGAGGACCGGGGUGAACGAUCCACUGGUGGACCAGUUGUUAUGCCAAUAGCAGUGCUGGGUAGCUAUGAUCGGACAGGAUAACCGCUGAAGGCAUCUAAGCGGGAAGCCCCCCUCAAAACAAGGUAUCCCUGAGAGCCGAGGUAGACCACCUCGUCGAUAGGCCAGAGAUGUAAGCGUGGUAACACGUUCAGUUGACUGGUACUAAUUGCUCGAUAGGCUUGAUUUGAUCCAG